ensembl:lncRNA ZNF571-AS1 ZNF571 antisense RNA 1
GCCUGCCUAGACGGUGCUGGGAGCGCGUCUCCUUGAACGUUGUCCCGCCUGGGAUUGCGAGGAUAGAGACUUGCUCUGUUGCCCAGGCUGGAGUGCAGUGACACGACUUGGCUCACUGCAACCUCUGCCUCCUGGGUUCAAGCAAUUCUCCUGCCUCAGCCUCCCGAGUAGCUGAGAUUACAGGCAUGUGCCACCACACCUGGCUAAUUUUGUAUUUUUAGUGGAGACGGGGUUCCACCAUAUCGGCCAGGCUGGUCUUGAAUUCCUGACCUCAUGAUCCACCAGCCUCAGCCUCCCAAAGUGCUGGGAUUACAGGCGUGAAUGUAAUGAUUUUUAAAAAGAAAAACAUGGAUGUAAAGAAAGUAAAGCUUCGUUUUGAACAGUUAUGAUGGUAACAAAACUCAAAGGAGCAACUAAAGCAGUGCUGCAACCACUUUUGUCUGUCUUAGUAAUUCUGAUUAGUGUACAUUCCUCCCCCACCAACCAUUUUGAGAGAAAUUUGUCUGAAAACAUGAUUUAUGAAAUAAACAUAAGUGCUGAAAG